GGGCGCAUGGCCUAAUGGUAAGGCGUUAGAUUUCGGUUCUACAUCAAUCUCUAAAGAUUGCAGGUUCGAUCCCUGCUGUGCUCG